rnacentral:misc_RNA from 1 species
GAUGAAGAACGUAGCGAAAUGCGAUAAGUAGUGUGAAUUGCAGAAUUCCGUGAAUCAUCGAAUCCUUGAACGCACAUUGCGCCUCCUGGUAAUCCGUGAGGCAUGCCUGUUCGAGCGUCACCAAAAUCAAAUCAACCACUCCGGUGAUUGGUCAUGGAGGAAGAGUCCGUCGUGUUGUGGUCUCCCCUCCCAAAAUAAAUGGCGGAAAGUUGCUGGCACUCGGUGUAGGAGUAUUAUUCGCCGAUUGUCCAGUGUCGUUCCUGCCGUCAAAUCCCCACAAUUAUCUUGAUUGACCUCGGAUCAGGUAGGGAUACCCGCUGAACUUAAGCAUAUCAAUAAGCGGAGGA